UACGGAGGGUGCGAAGCGUUAUCCGGAAUUAUUGGGCGUAAAGAGCUCGUAGGCGGUUUGUCGCGUCUGCUGUGAAAACUGGAGGCUCAACCUCCAGCCUGCAGUGGGUACGGGCAAACUAGAGUGCGGUAGGGGAGAUUGGAAUUCCUGGUGUAGCGGUGGAAUGCGCAGAUAUCAGGAGGAACACCGGUGGCGAAGGCGGAUCUCUGGGCCUUACCUGACGCUGAGGCGCGAAAGCUAGGGGAGCGAACAGG
rnacentral:rRNA from 1 species